rfam:Triticum urartu cultivar G1812 contig699044, whole genome shotgun sequence.
AAAAAACUCCCUCCGUCCGAAAAUACUUGUCAUCAAAAUGAAUGAAAUGGGAUGUAUCUAGAACUAAAAUACAUCUAUAUACAUCUUCUUUUAUUCAUUUUGAUGACAAGUAUUUCCGGACGAAGGAAGUAUAAG